rnacentral:rRNA from 1 species
AAUUUAUUUUUAUUAUAAAUAUUAAAAUUAUUUUUAAUUUAUAUAUAUAUAUAUAUAUAUAUAUAUAUAUAAAUUAAAAUAAUUUUAAUAAUUUGAAAUUUAAAUAAUAUAUAAAAUUAUUAUAUAUAAAUAUUUAUAUAAUAUAUAAAAUUAUAUUAUUAAUAAAUUUUGUGCCAGCAAUAGCGGUUAAACAAAAUAUAAAAAAUAAUUUUAUUAAUUUUAAUUAAAUUUUUAAUUUAAAUUUUUAUAAAAAUAAUAAUUUAUUAAUAAAAUAUUAAAUUAUUAAAAAUUAUUUUAAUUUUUAUUAUUUAAUUGAUAAAUAUUAUAUAUAUAUAUAUAUAUAAUUAAAAAAAAUAUUUAAAAAAUUAGGAUUAGAUACCCUAUUAUUUUAUUUAAAUUUUUUAAAAUUAAAUUAUUAAAUUAAUUUUUAAAAUUAAAUAAUAUGAUAGUAUUUUAUUUUAAAUAGAGGAACUUGUUAUAUAAUUGACAAUACACGAUAAGAGAUACUUUAUUAAAUAUUUUAUGUAUGUUUGUAAAAAUAAUAUUUUUAUAAAUUAUUUUUUAUAAUUUUUAUAAAAUUAAUUUCAGAUCAAUAUAUAAUUAAUAUAAAGAAAUUUAUGAGUUACAAUUAAUUUAAUUAUUUUAAUUAAAAAAAUUUAAUAAUUUAAUUAAAUUGGAUUUAUUAAUAAAAUUUUAUAAAUAAUAAAAUUUGAAAUUAAUUUUAAAAUAUAUACAAAUUGCCCGUCACUUUUAUUUAAAAUAAAAUAAGUCGUAACAAAGUAAAAAUAUUGGAAAAUGUUUUUAGUAAUAUAUAUAUAUAUAUAUAUAUA